GUCGACCCCACGCCACGCAGAGGUGAAGAUACGCAGGACGUCCUCUAAAGCAACUUCCGUGGGUGCCAGGUUGUGGGCUGGGGGCGGUGCUGACCUUGAGAGAGCGGAGGAGGCGCAGGCGCAGCACAGGUGGCAAUUGAAGCCGGAAGAACAUCUACCAAGAGCAGAGAACCCAGGAAGAAAAUUCUGCCUCUUUAAUACGUUCCAAUAUGGACGUUUUCCAUAUAGAUACCUAUCUAUAUAGAUAGAUGCUCUGGGAUCUGACGGUCCUGGACACCUGUAUGGCUGUGUGCUGUGGUCUUUGCCUAGCCUGCGGUUCACUUUUGCUCUGGCCACCACCUCCCCUCAUGUACAAACCGCGUCUCUGCUCUGCCAGUCUUGGCCCCCGUCAGGCAGCGGUUCACUCCCUCACCAGGGAAGUCUAGAUAGAUAGAUAUAGAUAGAUAUCGAUCGAUAGAUAUAGAUAUAUAUAUAGAUAGAUAGAUAGGUAGAUAUAUGGAUAGAUAUAGAUAUUUGGAUAGAUAUGUAGACGUCUAUCUAUAAAUAUAUCGAUAUAUCGGGGUUCUCAGCCAUCCCAAAGAAGCUUGCACAGGGCCAGUUGCUUUAUGUCAGGAAAAGGGACACAGACUGAGUGUAUGAGGGUUUUUUUUUUCUAUAGAUGUAUAGAUAUUUAUAUCAGAUGCAAAUAAGUGAAACUCUCAUACAACUUUUAAUUUUGUGUUUUUUCCAAACUCUAUUCCAUUCAACUUUUUCUGCCUUUUUAUUUGAUUAUAAUGAGACAUCGUACUGGAGGCAGGCUUGAAAUGGAUAUACAGAGCACUUUCAACCCAGAAAUUUGUCUCACGACUUGGGGUCCUUACUUAAGUUGUAGCUGUUAGUAAUUUCAUCCAUGAAUUCACUUUGUGCCAUAGUGUGAUGUUUUGUUAUGAAGUUGGAAUUGGGAAGGGAAACUAGGAAGUUUUGGGAGAAGUUAAGAAGGUUGAGUAGGCAGGCGUUGUUAUAGAUAUUAAAUUUCACCCUGCUUAUCAAAGUACCUGGAGCGUAUGGUAUCCAAGCUGUAAAUGGCCCAAAGGAAUCGGGGUUCUCAGCCAUCCAAAAGAAGCAUGCACAGGGCCAGUUAUUUUAUGUCAGGAAAGGGGACACAGACUGAGUGUAUGAGGGUUUUUUUUUUUGUUUUUUUUUUUUAGUUUAAACUUGAUUUUGUGAGGGGACGAACAGCGUGACAAUUAAAAGAAGAUCUGGGAAUCAUCCAAUGUGAUAAUUUAUGUGAAAUCUUUCUGCAAACUAUACAGUAUGAUAAAAAUAUAAGGUAGUUUCACUGGAAACAACAGAAGACUAGAAGCUGAUGUGACGUGGCAAUAUCAACCAGGAAUACCCAUCUCGAGUUCUGGAUAUGUGCUCUGAGAAGGUGCCCAUGUCACCGACCACACUGGAGGCCAAUGCAGAUACUGGGGGAAGGUUCCAUGGUAGCUAAGUGUGGACAAGCUAAUCACUGAAGUUCCCUGAUGCAGAGUUGAUAAUCUCUCUAGAGUUGGAUGAAAGACUGUGCUGCCUUGAAGCUCUGAGAGAUGCCAUGCCAAUUCAAGGCAGGGUCUUUAUUGUUGAAACUCUUGCGUAAUGACAUCUUUAUUCAGGUGAAAAUACAGGAUGAAUUUCAACUAUAUGAUAUUGUUUAUGUUCCUCAGACAUGUUAUUUGUCUUUACAAAGAUUGGUUUCAAUAAACUGUGUGACUGAUAUUAAAUAAACAUGGAAUUUUACACAUUCAUAAUAUUUGGUUUCUUGUGAUUUUGAUGAACUAUACUUUCAAGCAUUGUCAGUUCAUCCUCAUUUACAAGGAAACAUUUGCUGUAGCAGAGUGAUGUAGUGACUUGCUUUACUUAAGAUAAGUCAACUUUUCUAUUCAAUGUUUAAUGUGAAACUGACUUAAAAAUUUUCUUUUAGGCCACAUUUACAUUUCUGUUUGUAUAACAUGCAUUAUACUAUUUUAACUUAAUACUAUGGCUAUAUAAACCAAAGAC
rnacentral:lncRNA from 1 species